UACGGAGGGUGCAAGCGUUGUCCGGAUUUAUUGGGUUUAAAGGGUGCGUAGGCGGUCAAUUAAGUCAGUGGUGAAAUCCUAUAGCUUAACUAUAGAACUGCCAUUGAUGCUGAUUGACUUGAGUACAGACGAGGUAGGCGGAAUUUAUGGUGUAGCGGUGAAAUGCAUAGAUACCAUAAAGAACACCGAUAGCGAAGGCAGCUUACUGGACUGUAACUGACGCUGAGGCACGAAAGCGUGGGGAGCGAACAGG
rnacentral:misc_RNA from 1 species